CAUUCACGGAGAGUUUGAUCCUGGCUCAGGACGAACGCUGGCGGCGUGCUUAACACAUGCAAGUCGAACGAUGAAGCCCUUCGGGGUGGAUUAGUGGCGAACGGGUGAGUAACACGUGGGCAAUCUGCCCUUCACUCUGGGACAAGCCCUGGAAACGGGGUCUAAUACCGGAUAACACUCUGUCCUGCAUGGGACGGGGUUGAAAGCUCCGGCGGUGAAG
rnacentral:rRNA from 1 species